UGGCGAUAGUAGGUCUCUGACCCACAACGGAGGCAGGCAUGGUCGCAGUUGCUGCUUUCAAGACGAGAGAUUUAAGAGCUUCUCAUUGACCUCUGCUGCACUGUCUCCAAAGCAAGAGGCUCCUUUCCCCUGAAGCAGAGAUAUUAUUCAAGCUUUUCCAAUAAGAUGUAACACAGUAUCAUUUUCACAAGAAUUACAUUCAUCUACAAACAUUUUAAAGAAAAGAGUAAUCGAUCACGUAAUACAAGACCAGGACACUUUCAAGGGGUUCUGGAAGAGAAGGCAAGAACCAUUAGUGGUCAAAGUUAUGGUUGCAACUCCGUGCAGUAUGCAUAAAGCAAAUAGUGAAUUCUGCCAUCUGCCUAUCCAAGUACACGUGAGCUGCUGAGAUGGCAACAAUAGGAUUAUGGAAGCCUGAAGUAUUGAAGUGUCUGUUCUUUACGUAGUUCCCAUUCUCUUACUUCAUACCUACUUCCAGGUUUUUCUGCUUCUCAGAAAUACUUCCGAGCACAAACACAGACUGGUUAAAGAAUGUGGGGAUCACCUCCACAUGAAAUGGUCAGGGAAAUGAAACAAUUACACCGCUGACUAGCACAUUAAAGUUAACCAAGCAUGGUCAAAAACGAAGAAAAAUGCCUGCUUCACAGAAAAGACAUGAAAUUAAAUCAGCACUGCAGACCCAAAUUGCUGGCCUUUCAUUGUAUAAAGGUUUGUGGAUCAGUCAACAAUGACUCUACUCUCCAUGGAAAAAAAAAAUAAAAGAAGAAAAAAAAGUAAAGGUU